AGCGGCCGAUCGCCUUGAGUUGAUCAUGGCUCAGAAUCAACGCUGGCGGCGUGCCUAACACAUGCAAGUCGAACGCGACUUAGGCUUCGGCCUAAGUUGAGUGGCGAACGAGUGAGUAACACGUGGGUGACCUACCUUCGAGUGGGGGAUAACGUCCCGAAAGGGACGCUAAUACCGCAUAACAUCCUGCCUUUGAACAGGUGGAGAUCAAAGCCGGGGAUCGCAAGACCUGGCGCUUGAUGAGGGGCCCGCGCCUGAUUAGCUAGUUGGUGGGGUAAUGGCUCACCAAGGCGACGAUCAGUAUCCGGCCUGAGAGGGCGGACGGACACACUGGGACUGAGACACGGCCCAGACUCCUACGGGAGGCAGCAGUGGGGAAUUGUUCGCAAUGGGCGCAAGCCUGACGACGCAACGCCGCGUGGAGGAUGAAGGUCUUCGGAUUGUAAACUCCUGUUGCCCGGGACGAACGGCUCCGACCUAAUACGUCGGAGUGUGACGGUACCGGGUGAGGAAGCCCCGGCUAACUCUGUGCCAGCAGCCGCGGUAAUACAGAGGGGGCAAGCGUUGUUCGGAAUUACUGGGCGUAAAGGGCGCGUAGGCGGCCUGCUAAGUCGAACGUGAAAUCCCUGGGCUCAACCCAGGAACUGCGUCCGAUACUGGUUGGCUUGAAUCCGGGAGAGGGAUGUGGAAUUCCAGGUGUAGCGGUGAAAUGCGUAGAUAUCUGGAGGAACACCGGUGGCGAAGGCGACAUCCUGGACC
rnacentral:rRNA from 1 species